GACGAACGCUGGCGGCGUGCUUAACACAUGCAAGUCGAACGAAGUGGCGAACGGGUGCGUAACGCGUAAUCAACCUGCCCUUCAGAGGGGGACAACAGUUGGAAACGACUGCUAAUACCGCAUACGGAAGAACGGGAUUGUGUCUGAUUAGCUGGAUGGAGGGGUAAAGGCCCACCAAGGCGAUGUACAGUAGCCGGUCUGAGAGGGUGAACGGCCACAGUGGGGAGGAGACACGGCCCAGACUCCUACGGGAGGCAGCAGGGGGGAAUCUUGGGAAAUGGGGGGAAGUCUGACGGAGCAACGCCGCGUGAGUGAUGACGGGCUUCGGGUUGUAAAGCUCUGUUGGUCGGGACACGGUACCGGAAUAGAAAGCCACGGCUAACUACGUGCCAGCAGCCGCGGUAAUAC
rnacentral:rRNA from 1 species